rnacentral:lncRNA from 1 species
UAGAAUCUGAACAUUGCAAAAGCCAAUUGGAUUAUUAGAUUGGUCUCAAAUUUGGAUUGAUAAUAUGUCCUUUUAUAUUCUUUAACAUACUUUUGAUAGUAAGGUGAUUUGAUGAAUGAAUCAAGACUUAUGGUCAUUGAAAUAUGCUUGUCAUUAGUUCCUACAAAUCUUCUUUAUAGAUUUAUAUGCGUUCUUUACUUUAUUGAUUUGAUCUAAGGUUUUACGUCUUGGCGGGAUGGGGGCGUUCCGGCCAUCCCAUCCUGUUCUUGUAAGAAAAUGAGACUAGGAUGGAUUUGGGACUCCAAAACCCAUCCAUGCGGGGAGAAAAGCAGAAAGAAGAAAGAAGGAAAGGGAAGAUGAUGAAAAGGAAAAAAAAAUGAAAGAAACAAAGAAAAGCGACAAAAAAGAAAGCAAAGAGAAGAAAAGCAAAGAAAAAGGAAAGAAAGGUAGAAGAAAGAAAGAAAAAUAAAGAAAGAAAAAGAAAAAAGAAAGAAAAGGAAAGAAGGGUACUGAGAUGCAUGAUUGGGAUUGCUAUCAUGACAAGACAUGACAGGAUAAUGAGGCAUCCCAUUCCAUGGAGAAACUAAGACACCUCCAUCCCACGGGACUUCAAACUUUCAUUUGACCUAAUUAUUAAACAAGGUUCCUUGCUCAAUACUUUAAUGCUCACAUUUUCUUGGGUAUUUAUCAAAACUUCAACGGAAUUUCCCCUUAGAGAUCAUGGAUUAGUUGUGCGAUCUUCCAAAAAUCACUAUAGAAUCAUCACAUGGAUUACAAUAAUAAUGGCAUGCUACCAUGAAAGGUAAUUACACUGAUUAAAUAAUAAUGUCUGUAGCCAUA